GUAUUUACCUGGCAUGGGUGAAAUUAGGAUCACCACGAAGGUAGUUUUCCAAGGCAAAGUUUAUCCAAUUCACUCUGGAUGUACUCACUCAGGGGUUUCCCCACAAGCAGGAAACACGGCUGCAUAAUUUAUGGUAAUGGGGGACUGUGUUCACACUCUCCCCUG